GGACGAACGCUGGCGGCGUGCUUAACACAUGCAAGUCGAACGGAAAGGCCCUGCUUUUGUGGGGUGCUCGAGUGGCGAACGGGUGAGUAACACGUGAGUAACCUGCCCUUGACUUUGGGAUAACCUCAGGAAACUGGGGCUAAUUCCCGAUAGGAGCUCCUGCUGCAUGGUGGGGGUUGGAAAGUUUCGGCGGUUGGGGAUGGAUUCGCGGCUUAUCAGCUCGUUGGUGGGUUAGUGGCUUACCAAGGCUUUGACGGGUAGCCGGCCUGAGAGGGUGAACGGCGACAUUGGGACUAAGAUACGGCGCAGAAUCCUACGGGAGGCAGCAGGGGGGAAUAUUGCACAAUGGGGGGAAGCCUGAUGCAGAGACGCCGCGUGCGGGAUGACGGCCUUCGGGUUGUAAACCGAUUUGGAAGGUGACGAAGAGUGAGUGACGGUAAUGGGUAAAGAAGCAACGGCUAACUACGUG
rnacentral:rRNA from 1 species